CCUACGGGGGGCAGCAGUGGGGAAUAUUGGACAAUGGGGGCAACCCUGAUCCAGCCAUGCCGCGUGUGUGAAGAAGGCCCUCGGGUUGUAAAGCACUUUCAGUGAGGAAGAACGCCUGGUGGUUAAUACCCAUCAGGAAAGACAUCACUCACAGAAGAAGCACCGGCUAACUCCGUGCCAGCAGCCGCGGCAAUACGGAGGGUGCGAGCGUUAAUCGGAAUUACUGGGCGUAAAGCGCGCGUAGGUGGCUUGAUAAGCCGGUUGUGAAAGCCCCGGGCUCAACCUGGGAACGGCAUCCGGAACUGUCAAGCUAGAGUGCAGGAGAGGAAGGUAGAAUUCCCGGUGUAGCGGUGAAAUGCGUAGAGAUCGGGAGGAAUACCAGUGGCGAAGGCGGCCUUCUGGACUGACACUGACACUGAGGUGCGAAAGCGUGGGUAGCAAACAGGAUUAGAUACCCGGGUAGUC
rnacentral:rRNA from 1 species